GUGGUGUGCCCAAGGCCUAGGGGACCAAGGCUAAGGCCAAGGUCCAUCAUUCAUGAGGGCUUCAUGGAGGCUCUAGGGCUAGUUGGGCCCUAGGUUGAAAGGCUGUGGGCCUUUCGGGUUCUUGAGGUCUAGGUUAUGUGGGCCUCAAGGGGCCAACUCUUUAUGGGCCAGGUCUGGACCCAGGAUAGGUGAGAUUAGGUCAAGUCAUGGGUGUACAUGGGCUUGGGUUAACCUAAUCUCCCAUAGAGUUGGUCAAGGGAGUUUUGGGUUUGGGUCACUUGACCCGGUGUUUAUAUAUACAUGUACUGUGUAUAGGUUGGAUUAAGCCAAGUAAUAGAAGAACUCUUUCUCCCAAGUC
rnacentral:lncRNA from 1 species